CUCUGUGAGAGUGAUAUUUUCCCUGCAAGCCUUUGAUGGCACUGUGAGCAUGAAAACAUUUAACCCAGUUCUCCUUUUUUUUUUUUUUUGGUCAAAUACGAAAGAAGAGAAGAAGAGCAAAGCGCUUUCACUCCAGUUCCAGGCAGGAAUAGAAAUCCUCACUGAGAAAACCUUACUCCACAGGAGGCAUGUCUCAGAACAAGGGAAAAAGCGUGUCGUGGCCAUGCAAGCCAACAGUAGCACAGCCUGCUACAGACCCCAUGGGCUGCUGAGAAUCUCUAUCAUUCACAUCUUAUGAACUGGUUUGGCGCAUCUCCAGAGGACAUUGGCAGCUGUUCAAGGCCUUGCAAGCAGCUCCAAUCGCAGCCGGUUUCAUGGCCAGGCUGCAGGCAGGAAGGAUCGAGGUCUUCAGCUGGAGCAGAUGAGCGGGGCUCUGCUGGAGGCUCCAUCACACCUCCAGUCCCUUCCGGGGCAGAACAGCAGCCACGUGCUCUGAGAUCUGGGAUCAGGAGGCCGUGGGCCAUCUCCAAACUGGUGCCAGGCAGCGCAGCACCGCAUGCCUUGCAGGAGCUCCACCUCCUACCAACAGCAGUGCGGUCAGUGGAGAGGAAAGAUGCUGAAAAUGAUCCCUGCGUUAUCCGGGUGCCAAAUCAAUGCAUCUCAUCCUGCCCUGCACUGAGAGCAGAGCAUUGCUGAGAGCAGGAUGGAGGAAGGUGAGGGAAGUCCUACAGGUGGGGAAGGAACACCAACAGGUCUGAAGGACCGCAGUGCCCCUGCAGCUCCCCAGGUCUCCACCUGCGACUGCCCCGUGCAAUGGGAAAUAUAACUACAUUCUGAGAACAACAGCCCCUUAGGAAGAAAAAACAAUAAGGGAAGAAAGCACGCCUUUGAAAAACAACAGCAAAGAAAAAAACCCUUCAACUAUAAAAUAAACUAAGCUUUAUUUUGCCAAAUUCUGAGCCGUCAUUUGCUGCCAGCAGUCCCACCUCUUCCAUCCAGGAGCUGGUGACGUUGAUCGAGCUGCAGAUCAGAAGCUGUUCCCUGGAUGAGGUGGGCCGCCUGCUGCCCUCACCAUGCUCUUCCCACCCCACUGCUGCCCGCCCUGAGGUCUGCUCCAGCGCAGGGAGGUCUGGCACUCUUGAACCUGAGGUCAAAAACAAGAGGGAGGAAAAGAAUGGCCUUCAGGCCAGAGGAAGAAACCAGGGCAACCAGGCUCUUAACGUGAUAAAAGGGCUUUAUCUCAAAGCACUUAAACAAAACACACAAGCCUGAGAGAAGAGGCUCUGUCAAGUAUCCGCCCGGGACAUGGGGAAAUUGCAAAUCCCUGCAGGACAGAGGGGCUCUUUCUUCAGUGUGCAGAGCCUGGAGAUGGGGCUGGGCAGGUGAGGGGUGCUGGGGAAGGGGUGCAUGGGGGAUUUCCCGUUUGCAGUGGUGCAUGGGUACGGAUCAGACUGUGAGCAGCUGUUAGAGAGCAGAUCACGGGCACGGGGAGUGGGCAGCAGUGCUGGAGAGGGGCAGGAGAGAAUGGGAGAUGGGACAUGCAGCAGCAGGUGGGCACAGUCCCACCCCCUGUGUGUGGGGAGUCAGUGUAAAUCAGUGCCACCUCUGCACUUGGUGGGUGGAUGGGUGCAGUUUGCAGGAGUUGGAUGGGUGUAGUUUACAGGAGUUGGAGGGGAGGCUUGGUUCUUGCUGGCCCCUUACAGAACGCUGCAGGGAGGAUUGUGCCAUGGAGAGGUCUCUGGGUUGUUCCCAGGUGCAUGGGCAGGGAGCUGCACACACCAUCCCGGGUCUCUGGGCUGCAGGUCCCAGCCCAUCCCCAGCCAAUCUGCUUUCCCAAGGGGCUGAGGCAGCUGUGCUUGUGGUACCUGCUCCAAAGGGACGGGCUGUUCGCUCUGGCUCAUCUUGUCCCUCAUCCCUUUGGGGCUCAGCCCCGUCCCUCCCCAUUUCUCUGUGACACACGAUGCUUCGUGCCAGCAAUCCCUGCCUAUGAGGAGAAGCCCUGCCCUGCCUGGGCGCUGCUCUCCCUCUGGCUCCUUGUUCUUCAGCCUUUGUUUGGUACACGUCCUCGUCCCCUAUGGAUGCCCAUAGUGUCCUUUCCCUUCCAUGGCUCAGUGAGGACCACGAGGAGCUCCCAGCCAUGAAUUUCCCCCACACACCACUGCCAGGCUGUUAUUGCUGUGCGCUCCCUCCUGACUCCAUCUGUCUGCAUGGUGCUACUGCUCCGUGCCAGGAGGGCUCCGGGACCGCUGGGGUCACGGCUGCCCCAUUACGGGGCGAGAUUUAUCAUUGGCAGGUGUGCUGCGGGAUGGUAUAUUAUCCAGGAUUAUGAACUGUAACAGGAUAAUCUCUCUAAUGUAAUUCAAGCUCUCGACAUGGCUUAUGGCUCCUUAAUGUACCUCAGACUGAAGAAUUACAAGAACAUUUUCCCCCCUCCCUACCUUGUCAGCUCCUAAAUGAUUUAGGCAAUCGCCUGAAGCCAGAUCUUGGCCUCCAGUCAUAACUCAGAGCAGUUCAGUAAAUAUGAUGGGGAAGGAGUUUUCCUGCCUUGGCUCUUUCUUCCUUCCGCUGCGCUCAGCCCUCGCGGUGCUGCUGCUCUGCUCCCUGUGGAGCAUUCAGGAUGGACCCAAAGUUGGGCUGGUGGGCGCAGGGAUGCUCUGCAGGGGGAUCAUGCCUUGGUUUCAGAUCAUGGGGUUGUGCCCAUUUCAGCAUCACCUCUCUUUUUGAGUAAUGCAGCAAUUAGUGGUUUGGUAACACAUCAACCAAUGUGUGUCCAGCUUUGCUUUGUACCCCCGCUGAGCCAAGAGGAACAUUGCCCAUCUUCAUCUAAUUGGCUUUUAAUUCUGGUCAUUGCUUUGACCUUAAAGAUGUGGUUUGUGGGGCCGAUUUUGGAGCAGGUACAUCCCCACAUGGGCACCAAAAAGGUGAGCAGUGAUGGCCACCACCCCAGGGUCCCACAGCGACCAACUGGCCUCAGUCCAGCCCCCAUGAGCCCAGUGACAAAUAAACCUCGUAAAAGGAGAGGAAAAAGAGGGAGAAAAGCAGAGAUUAAGAACAGGAACUGCAGGGAUAUGGCUUCCACUCGGCGACUGACUUAAAAUAAACAUCAGAUAUGCAGAGCAGGGCUGGGAGCCUGCCAUGGCAUGGGGGAAAAAGUAAUGCAGGGAAAUGUGUGUGUCCUUUAGCACGGCCGGUUAUGGGCCUGGUUACCUGGUGCUAACGUGAGUGUGGCAGAGGUGUGAUGUGCCGAGUGGCUGCAGGGGAAGGAAAAGGGGAAUGCGUGGGAAUGUGGAAGGUGCUAGGGAGUGUGGAGCAGCCAGGAGCACUCAUCCCUGCCCCAACCCCGGCUCUGCGGGGAUGAAAAACAGAGGGAUGGAAAGCAAAGGGAUGGAAAACAAAGGGAUGGAGAGGGGGAGAUGGGCUCAGGAGGCACCCGGCUGUGGUGGGCACGGAGGCCCCGGAGCUGCAGGUGCCCCAGCAGAGCCCACAGCAGAGGAAGCAGCAGAGCAUCCCCAUCCCCUGGAAGCGCAGUGCAGAGCGGAGCUGGAGCGUGACGGCAGCCCAUGGCAGGGCUCCGGCCGGCCCCAGGCAGCUGUAUUUACUGUUGCUAUUUGUUGUCGCCCUGGCAGCCUCCGCAAUGUGAAUUUUCUGUGUCACUGGCUGAGAGGAUUCCAGGCAGGUUUUUGAUAAUGUGGGGUUGGUUUUGUAAAGCAGGGAGGGAGAGGGGAAAAGGAGCCACGGGCUACAAACAGCUCGGCCCGGAGCUUUUAACUCUUUCGCCGCUGAAUGUGCCUGACUGCUGCGGACGGAGCAGCAGAGCUGUGCUGGAGGUCCCUUCCCCACCACUGCUCGGGGGUCCCGCACCGAUCCCCCCCCGUGCCUCAGUUUCCCUUCCUGCAAAAAGGGAGGAACGUGUGGGCACGGUGCGGUGCCCGCAGUGCCGCAUCCAUGGGGCAGCUGAAGUGCCCACCUGGCAGUGCCCCACGCUCAGCUUCUUCCACCUGGGAGCUGCAGGGUUUGAUCUCUCCAGAAGCAAAACCAGAAUCCACACGCAGUCGAGGUCUCCUCUUUUGUUUUCAGGCAGACAGAGCAGCAGUGCCCGUCCCCUCCCAGUGCUGCUGCUGGGAGCACCAACACCGGGAUCUGCUGUUCCUUCCUUUCUCUCUUUCUUCUUUCCUUUCUGUCUGGCUGUGCGCUUUGGGUAAUUAGCGUAUCAUGGAGAGAUGGUGUGGUGGGACAGGAAGGAAAAGCUGUUUGCACAGCAGAGUAACUGGCAGAGCAUCUUCAGACCUGUCUGUGCUUCCCAGGUGGCACCUCCGGCUUAACCGCUUCCUUGCUG
ensembl:lncRNA